rfam:Myotis brandtii contig202159, whole genome shotgun sequence.
GGCGGUUCUCGGGUAACAUACCCUGGAAUUGGGCUCCCUCCUCUCUGGUUCCAGGUGCGUCACCCGAGAACCAUA